AUGUGGGUUUGGCUAGGAAGAGCCAGUGUGGCACCUCUUUCCUGCAGACGCGGUGACCAAGUUAUGUCGAAAGCAAUUGAGGAAUUGUUUCCCAAUACAUGCCCUCACUGGAACAUUCAAAAUAACUCCACAUCUCGCCUUGGUGCAUUUGCUGGGGGUUCGAAAGCUUUUAAUAAGAUGUUCACCAAGUGUAUGCAGGGAUGCGACUCUGAAGUAGAAUUCGAGGAAACAUGGGCUAAUAAUAAGUUGCUGAAGCGGUGGACCAGAGACCAGCUCUUACUAUUACAAAUGUGUUCAAAAUUCCAGAAAUAUGAAUCAUCAUAUAAGGAAUGUAUGGAUGAUGAAGCUGCAUACCGCAACCAUGGUAUGAGGUACGCUUAUGGCCCUGUGAUGAAGAGUCGAGAGCAGGAGGAUUGA
rnacentral:rRNA from 1 species